rnacentral:rRNA from 1 species
GCCUGAUCCAGCCAUGCCGCGUGAGUGAAGAAGGCCUUCGGGNUGUAAAGCUCUUUCGGCCGGAACGAAAUCGCGUACGYGAAUAACGUGCGYGGAUGACGGUACUGGAAGAAGAAGCACCGGCUAACUACGUGCCAGCAGCCGCGGUAAUACGUAGGGUGCGAGCGUUAAUCGGAAUUACUGGGCGUAAAGCGUGCGCAGGCGGUUCUGCAAGUCAGAUGUGAAAUCCCCGGGCUUAACCUGGGAACUGCGUUUGAAACUACGGAGCUAGAGUACGGCAGAGGGGGGYNGAAUUCCACGUGUAGCAGUGAAAUGCGUAGAUAUGUGGAGGAACACCGAUGGCGAAGGCAGCCCCCUGGGCCGAUACUGACGCUCAGGCACGAAAGCGUGGGGAGCAAACAGGAUUAGAUACCCUGGUAGUCCACGCCCUAAACUAUGUCAACUAGUUGUCGGGAAAGCAAUUUCUUGGUAACGAAGCUAACGCGUGAAGNUGACCGCCUGGGGAGUACGGUCGCAAGAUUAAAACUCA